UCUCUAUUUCUCCGUAAGACUGAAACCCAAAAAAUCAGAAACGCACCAAACCCAAAUCUGAAUCACACAUCCCUUCCCGUUCGUCUUCUUCGUCAUUCUUUUUUCUCACUCUCUCAUAUCCCGAUCCAUUGCCUCUGAAAUUCAAUCCUAACCCCUCAGCUCCAAUACCCCACAUCUCUUAUGCUCUCCCCUCGAUUUUGUACUUUUAUGUUCUGUGAAUGUGUGAAUUGACGACUAUCUCAAUUUUUAUGAGGUUUGAGUUGAUUUUUCGAUCCAUGAUAGAUUUCCAAUUGCCCGGGCAGAAAUUUUGGUUUCCAAAUCGGCAAGCUGAGCAUGAAUCUUAUUUUCAGUUCAUCCUCGCGACUCUGCUUUGCCUCGUUUUGAAAGUGAUUCUGUUGAGGAAUUCAAUGGGUUGCAAGUUCAGCAAAUAAUUGCUAGUUGUAGAGGUUUUGGUUUCCGGUACAUUUGAUUAAACUGGGUUAGGGUUUGUGGAAUUUGGCUGGUAAUGUUGCUCAGUGCUCACUCUCAGAUUCUUUCAUUAAGGGUGGAUGCAUGGGCAUAUCGAUGGAUUCCAGAGCAAAGAAAAUGCAAGACCAGAUGUUUCAAUCAUUAAAUAUAAUGGUUUUAAAAUAGUUUGCAGGAUGAUAAUGAGUAUUCCCUUUCAAAAAUUUGGAGUAGAGACAUACAGUGUUGAGAAGGGAUUCACUCUCGGAUUACACUUUUUCUCUGAAUCCCUGUGUAUAAAUCUGACAUCUCCAGCUGCUUUCCAAUUCGAGAAGCCUCCAUCAAAGUCACCAUCUACUGUUACGCAAUAUCAGGUAUUCGACAUGUUUAAUUAAGAAGAUAGGUCACCAAUAUGUUUACUUUGACAGCUCAAGAGGAAGAAGGUCAACAAAACAAGAAACGGUUAUUGGUGAUUGCUCUGAUCACAAUUCCUAUGAUUAUGAUCCUACUGAGAACAAUGAUGUAUUUUCUAAAAAGGAGAGUAGUCAAGUCAAUUGGGAUUAUAGACAAAAUUAAAAGAUCAGUUUAUAGGCUAUUAAAUGUAAUUCCAGCUACAGUCAGUUUUAACAUCAAUGCUCCUAAUAUGUCUACAAGUUGGAGAGGGUGGUUUAUAUAUGUCUACAAGGAAGGAUGAGACCUGGGUGAGCCAGACAGAAUUGUGAGGAUUAUGAUAUGCAGUGGCCUUCAUCUCUGUUCAACUGAAGCCCCUUAGUUCGAUUCAAAGUUUUCAUGCAGAUCGAGAAGAAAGACAUCCAAGAUUUCAGAACCAACCCAUCUUUUUGAACGAAAUUUACGAAAGAGGAGGAGAAGGCCAAGGUCAAAGACUUGCACCCCGAGCUUCUAGCUGGGAUGUUCUUUUUCUUUUUGCUGGAACAACUGGUGGAGCAACAGCUCUUCUGACUUCUCACAAACCCAAUCUGGGAAGCAGUUUCACGUCAAUGAUUUCUAUCGAUCUCUAUUGCUCUACUGUGGUAGAUGAAGUAACUACAGGAAACUGUCAAGGGACAAUUAUGGAGAUUAUGUGAUCCCCAAGGGAAGCCACCAGGUGUAAUAUAAUAGUACAACUAGCUAGUUCCUAUAUUUAACUUGUGUCUAGUAGAAAUUUUUCCUUCAUUAAGAAUUUGGACUUGUUUGCAGAUUCAAAUUAGUAGAUAUGAGCCAUUUUGAAUUGAUGCUCAUGAUUAGGUUUGUGUACAUGAGACAAUGAUGGAUUAGUGGAAAUUGCAAUGAAUGCUUUUGGAUGUGGAUUUUAUGGUUU